rfam:Pseudogulbenkiania sp. NH8B DNA, complete genome.
GGGGGCGACCUGGUUUCGACGGGGGUUGCGAAGCAGAUGAGGGCAUACCGGGAUUUCAGUCACCCCGUAAAACACUGAAUUUAUUUAGUCGCAAACGACGAAACUUACGCUCUAGCCGCUUAAUCGCGCUAGACACUGCAACGAUUCGCUGAUGGGUCGGGUGGGUCAAACCGCUGCAGUGUCACUCUACAUCAGCUAGCGCUGCACCGGGUCACUUGAUCCAGCGCGAAACAAUAGGUGACUCGCUCCAGUCCAGCCUGCCCGUCGGCGUGACCCGGAGUUAAAUCCAAAUGACACGGCUAAGUAUGUAGAACUCACUGUAGAGGAUUUCCGGACGCGGGUUCGAUUCCCGCCGCCUCCACCA